GAGUUUGAUCCUGGCUCAGGACGAACGCUGGCGGCGUGCCUAAUACAUGCAAGUUGAGCGCUGAAGGUUGGUACUUGUACCGACUGGAUGAGCAGCGAACGGGUGAGUAACGCGUGGGGAAUCUGCCUUUGAGCGGGGGACAACAUUUGGAAACGAAUGCUAAUACCGCAUAAAAACUUUAAACACAAGUUUUAAGUUUGAAAGAUGCAAUUGCAUCACUCAAAGAUGAUCCCGCGUUGUAUUAGCUAGUUGGUGAGGUAAAGGCUCACCAAGGCGAUGAUACAUAGCCGACCUGAGAGGGUGAUCGGCCACAUUGGGACUGAGACACGGCCCAAACUCCUACGGGAGGCAGCAGUAGGGAAUCUUCGGCAAUGGACGAAAGUCUGACCGAGCAACGCCGCGUGAGUGAAGAAGGUUUUCGGAUCGUAAAACUCUGUUGGUAGAGAAGAACGUUGGUGAGAGUGGAAAGCUCAUCAAGUGACGGUAACUACCCAGAAAGGGACGGCUAACUACGUGCCAGCAGCCGCGGUAAUACGUAGGUCCCGAGCGUUGUCCGGAUUUAUUGGGCGUAAAGCGAGCGCAGGUGGUUUAUUAAGUCUGGUGUAAAAGGCAGUGGCUCAACCAUUGUAUGCAUCGGAAACUGGUAGACUUGAGUGCAGGAGAGGAGAGUGGAAUUCCAUGUGUAGCGGUGAAAUGCGUAGAUAUAUGGAGGAACACCGGUGGCGAAAGCGGCUCUCUGGCCUGUAACUGACACUGAGGCUCGAAAGCGUGGGGAGCAAACAGGAUUAGAUACCCUGGUAGUUC
rnacentral:rRNA from 1 species